UUCCCUUAGUAACUGCGAGUGAAGCGGGAAAAGCUCAAAUUUAAAAUCUGGUGGUCUUUGGCUACCCGAGUUGUAAUCUAGAGAAGCGACAUCCGCGCUGGACCGUGUAUAAGUCUCCUGGAAUGGAGCGUCAUAGAGGGUGAGAAUCCCGUCUUUGACACGGACUACCAGGGCUUGUGAUCCGCUCUCAAAGAGUCGAGUUGUUUGGGAAUGCAGCUCUAAAUGGGUGGUAAGUUCCAUCUAAAGCUAAAUAUUGGCGAGAGACCGAUAGCGAACAAGUACCGUGAGGGAAAGAUGAAAAGAACUUUGGAAAGAGAGUUAAACAGUACGUGAAAUUGUUGAAAGGGAAACGCUUAAAGUCAGUCGCAUCAGCUAGGGAUCAACCUUGCUUUUGCUUGGUGUAUUUCCUGGUUGAUGGGUCAGCAUCAAUUUUGACCAAUGGAAAAAGUUCAGGGGAAUGUGGCAUCUCCGGAUGUGUUAUAGCCCUUGGUCACAUACAUUGGUUGGGAUUGAGGAACUCAGCACGCCGCAAGGCCGGGUGUCAACCACGUUCGUGCUUAGGAUGCUGGCAUAAUGGCUUUAAUCGACCCGUCUUGAAACACGGACCAAGGAGUCUAACAUACCUGCGAGUGUUUGGGUGGAAAACCCAAGCGCGUAAUGAAAGUGAAAGUUGGGAUCUCUGUCGUGGGGAGCACCGACGCCCGGACCAGACCUUCUGUGACGGAUCCGCGGUAGAG
rnacentral:rRNA from 1 species